CCUCGUUUGCAUUAUGUCGCCGACGACUUAAAUCAGUUCCACCAAAAGAACCAACAAUGGUAACUGUUCAACAAAAAAUAUAAAUUUCGGUUCAAAUAAUUAAUUUUUUUUAUAAAUAAAAGUUAAUUCUAAUUAAGAAUAAUAUCCUUAGUUCUUAAUAUCGGAAAAAGUAAUUGAUGAGCGUUAUGCGGGCAGUGAUUGAGUGAUGAAUCCUCGAAAAAUCGACAAAAUAGUGUUGUUUUAUACUAGACAAAAUAAUCAUUUUAAUUAUUUCUCUCAUAUUUAAAAAUAAUUAUUUAAUUAUUUUCCUAAUAUUUAGGACUCCAAAGUCAACUAAAUUUUAGGCAUUAAUGUUCUCUUAUUUAAACUGUAUAAAGUAUCUAUAAUUCAAUCAAUCGUUAUUUUGUUGGAUUACUUUUUCACAAUAAGUCAAACCAUAUUAACGUGCAUACAACUAAAAAAAUACUUUUAUAACUUAAAGAGUCUUAGUCUACAACAAACAAUAACAACAACAAUAUAGUAUAAUCCCACUUAGUGGAGUCUGGGGAGGAUAAUGUAUACGCAGACCUUACCUCUACCCUGGGAUAGAGAGGCUGUUUCCAAAUAGUGAAGGUUGCUUACCAUCAAAGCAACCCCUCUUGUCACAAACAUAGGGCAUAUAUUAGUCUACAACAAACAUAGGACAUAUAUUAAAAAGAAAGGCGGAUUCAGUAUUUGAAGUUUAUGAGUUUAUAUGCAAUCACAAGUUAAUACAAAAUAAUAACUGAAUUCACAAUUAAAUAUUUAUAAAAAUUUAGUAAAUUUCUUAAUACAAAUACAUAUUUUGCGCAAAAACUAUUCGAUUCCCAUAAAUCCAUAAACUAUACUCUCUAUUUUAUAACUCAAACGUGACUAUCAAUAUAUUAUAUAUGUGAUAUUAAAAAAUUUGUACUCAUUAAGAUAGUUACAAGCGUAACGCACGUACCCAAAAGCUAGUUUGAUAAAUAACGUUAAUGUCAGGUAAAGGAGUUCUUAGACUUGCUAGAAAUUUCUUGACAAAAGGAAACGAAUAAAAAGGCCAAAACAGAAGUGCGAAGCGGAGGUACCAAUGAAAUUAAAAGAACGGCAAAGUUUUAAGAAGAAAAGGAAAAAAAAAAGAAGUAGAAGAUAGUUCGAAUAUUCCUCACGUUCUGUCAUACUUAACAAACUUAGAAGGGUUUGACUUGGUUACCUCCUCAAAUAUAAUUUGGCCUACUGUUUUGAUCAAAAAGUGUUAAACUUUUUGACUAACCAAUUAAUAAUAAGAAGAAGGGUUUGACUUGGUUACCUCCUUAAAUAUAAUGUUGGCCUACUGUUUUGAUCAAAAAGUGUUAAACUUUUUGACUAACCAAUUAAUAAUAAGUAGAAGGGUAAAUUUUAGUUAAGAAUAAUAAAAUCUAGACCAAACAAUAACCGAAGUAGAUAAGGUAAAAAGACGAUAGUUAAUAUGUUGAGUUGAUUAAAUACUCAUAAAUGCAGCGACAUUAAUAUGUAAUGGGUCUGAAUAAAUGCGGUUAACGUAAUCAAGAGAAGUUACUACCCAAUUAUUCUGAUCUUUUGGGAGAGUCUCUUCCCCUGACAGUGGUGUAGAAAGAGAAGAGGUAUCGGAUGAUCGAGGAUUCUUGAGAUCUUGUCCGUAUAGAACAACAAUAUAUGCUUUUUGUUCUUCAAUCAAUGAAUAAGGCCACCUUCGUAUAUUGUUUCAGAUAAAUCUUUUAUAAAGUGUUCUUUUUUCUUUUUUCUCGGAUCCUCUCUUCUUUACUAACUCUUCCUAUUUAUAGGGUACACUUUCCCAAAAAACCCUAAAAAGUACAACAUAAAGAAUAUUCGAAAAGUAUAUUCUUACUGUCUCCCUCUAAGUUUACACUAUUAUUAACGUCUUGUUUCGGCAGACCGCUCUUGGUCGUCGUCCUUUGCCAUAAUGACCAUCAGGCAUCGUGUUAUAGUAACCUCGUUCCAUGCCGUGUUUAACAGUUGUGGCUGUUGCGAAAUUGACCCAUACAGUUAGUCCCUCCACUUGUUGAGGUCGUGGCCCGGCACGUCCUUGAUAAACGGACAAAGCCUACUUCUGUUAGAGAGUUUGGCUAUUAAAUUACGCCAGUUUGGCCAAGGCCGAGAAAGCGGCACGCUUCAUGGAACCCGUGUUGGUGCAGUUUGUCGAGAUGUGACGUCACUCUCAUGCGCGUCAUCAUCGCGCACCUUCCCGAGACAAUGACUAAUUGCUUGUCGCUUUGGCUUUAGCGCCAUUAGCAGCCUUCCGCUUCGAUUCUCACGCCAUCCAACCCUAUAAAUAGGUGAAUGUUUUGUUUUUUCAAGAACUUUUAGACAUUUCCUUUCUUGUGUAUACAUUGCCUCAUUUGGUUAUCUCUUCUGUUAGUUUGUGUUCUUUUCUAAUCAUCUUUUCCGUUCAACCACCAUUCCUCAUUUCACGUUUCACAACAUCCCUUCCAUUAUCAAGAUGCCUAGAAUGCUCUGAACACACGAAGAAAUUUCCAAUGCCACUCCGUUAUCCAUGUCACCUCCUCCUGGUGGCGAGGAUAUCGCGGUUGAGGAAGGGGACAGUUCUCCUACCGUAGAAGAGAUACUCCCAAGAAACCUAUGUCCCGGAAUGACUUUCAUAAAGAACCUGCCGCUUCUCCUGUUCCUGUGGUCUCUGAGAUUGAGCGAGCUCACAUAAAUGGCCCCCGGUCUACGUACAACAUUCUUCCCCAUGUUGAGAUGGUUCCGGCUGGGAGGGACUUCGUAGAGGUCCACAGACCGGGAUAUUGUUCUUUUACGUAUAUCCCUUUGUGAUCGGUCACACCCUUCCCCUUCUUCCGCUAGCAGAGGAAUUCUAUCGGUUCUAUGAGGUCAGCCCGGCGCAGCUAUCUCCGUAUACAUAUAAAAAAUUUCUAGUGUUGACGAAGUAUGCAGAGUUGGCGAGGUGUGAAGUUGGUCUUUAUCAACUUUUACACUUAUUCUCCCCAAGUUUUCAUAGGGGCACCAUGAUACACUUGCGGAAACGUGGGACCAGGGGGUUGGCGGUCGGAAUAGACGAUCGGGUAAGCCGCAAAUUUUGGCAGAAAUACUUCUUUAUUAGAACCGAACACCUGGUGUCAGACUGUCACACCUCCUUUUUUACCUAUACACCCCGAAAGGGUAUAAGAGAGUUUUUUCCAACUUAAAGUGACAAUCGAAACGAGAUUUAUUUAUUAAAGAUUCAGAGUCACCACUUGGGAUAAUUUAUGGUGUCACAAGUCACCAGUUUAAAUCCCGAAUCAAAGAAAAGAUUGACUUUGUAUUACUGUCCGCGAACCAAAAAUCCGGGUAAGGGAUUCUGUUAACCCGGGAGAAGGUGUUAGACACUCCCGAGUUUCGUGGUUCUAGCACGGCCGCUCAACUAUUAUAUUCGGCUUAAUUAUCUGAUUUUAAACAAUUGUGAACCUAUGCAAAUUUUAACUUUUUAAUCGCUUUUAUUCCUUUUUAGAGAAAAUUACAACGUCAUUAAAACAUGUCUCAAACCACGUCACAUAAAUGCACCCGUGGUCUUUGACAUAUUUUAACAUCAUUGUAAUUUGGAUUUGGGUCACAUAAAUGCGCAUAUGAAUUUAGGAAAGUAAUAUUAUUAAACUAACGCGCCUAAAGCAAUUUGGCAUUUGCAGCUUUGCGAGGGCCAUAGAAGAUUCAACUAAUGGCGCACCUCGAUUUCUAAAGAGUUAAAAUUAAUUAUCUGAGAGCCAUGGAUUGUAAAUUUUUGUUUGGCAUGGCACGCCUCAAUUUAUUUUAAAAGAAAGCAUUCAAUUAAAAGAACUACGGAUAUUCAUAUUUAAAGCUAAUUAGGUAUCACAACCACGCCACGGGAACCGUACCCGUAGUUAUGAUGGUUUUGCUAUGCGGUAAAAGCAAGCUACGCGUAUUUGUAAUUAUUUUCUAAAGCCAUUCUCAAGUCACCGUGCACCUACAGCGGGUAACGUGAGGUAUGCUUCCAUUUGUCAUUAAUAUUGGCGAUGCAAAAAUGCAAUUACUUACUGUCCAUCCCAAAUGCAACAGACUUACCGAAGAAAUAAUAAGACCUUGUAAAAGGAAUAGAAUAAUUUCAUUUCCCUUACUUUUCGACAAAGUCAAGAGUCACGAAAGUCCAAAUACGGAUUGAAAUGAGAAAUUCAUCUGAAAAGAUACAUCGAAUCCUACUUCCAUCACUAUUUUUGAUUUUAACAAAAGAAAUUCGUGAGAACAAGAUAAUGACAUCUACUAAUUUGACUAAAACAUAUGAACAAGUUAUAGCAUUAAAAAUUCCAUAGAAAACCACUCAACAUGAUUAAAAUUAAUAUGACUAAAAGUAACUAAAGAAACUUCAACAAAUUCAAAAAUUAUCCUACCAACAUCAAAAUUCAUUACUAGUAUUUAAAUAUCCUAAAACAAGAAAUCAACACCAUUAGAUAAAGCAAGAGGGAAAAAAUUGAACCUGAAAAUUGGAAUUUUUAAUUUGAUGGAGUCGUUCAAUAGUUACACGGACAAGAACAGAGCACAAUUAUAAUCAGAACUCAAAUCGACGGAAAUCUCAAACACGAACCCGGACGGACUCUCGAAUCGACCCCAAAAACUCGAAACCAAAGCGACCUUGCUCAAACUCCGCUUCGUUUAUUGUCGGGAUUAUGCAACGAGGCAGUGAAAGGGAAACUCCAAAAUAGUAGUCCUCAAGCGAAGCUAUGAACUAGAGACUCGAAUCGGAACCGGCAACCCCGGACGGACUCGAAUCUACUGGGCUUGGACCUUGAUUUUGGGCUGAUUUCCAUACUGAUUUCGGGGGCUUUUCACUCUGGUUUUUGUGCAAAAAAGUGCUGUUUUGGGAGAUGAACUGCUGGGUUUUUUGGCAGCAUUUUGGAGGUGAUUUAACUGUGUUCUUGGACUGAUUUUCCAGCCAUUUCGCAGCUGGAUAUGCUGCUAUUUUGAAGCUAUUUUUUAGUUGCUUCUUUGGAGUAUUUUUGGAGCUGUUUUUAAUGGCUGAAGUUUGAUGAGUAUUUCAGCUGAGUUUUGGGCCAUUUCAGCUGCGUUUUUUAGCUUAAUUUCAGGGGUAAAAGGGUGCAUUCUAUGGGCUGUUUUUUUUGGGUUUCAAGGUGGUUUAAAUGGCUGAAAUUGAGGCUGUUUGUGGUGGGUGUUUAUGGGUAUUUUCGGGCUGGAUCCGGGGUGUGUUUGAUGUCAAAGAUGGCUAUGUUUGUGUGAAGCUGAAGAUAAGGGUCCUUGGUUUGGUUAAAGAGAAGCCAUGGAAUCAGUAGAGGGUGAGAUAUUUUUUGUGCAAAACGGCGGAUCUAUAUCUCUGUGUCUUAUAAGCUUUCAAAUCUCUUUUCUCCUAAUUUUAAGCCUUAGUGGACAAUUAACUAUAUUAUUUUUAACCUUUA
rnacentral:lncRNA from 1 species